rnacentral:pre_miRNA from 1 species
AGCUUCUUUACAGUGCUGCCUUGUUGCAAGCAAGUCAAGCAGCAUUGUACAGGGCUAUGA